CAGCAAUCAUUCGCGCAAGCAUUCGCUCCCUUUUCCCUAUGCAUCAGACCGGAAAGCGUGUGUGCAGUUCUACUUUUGUUGUUAUAAAAACUGCGAAACUUGGUUUCGCGGAAAAGCUGUCUGUUACGAAGAGCGUUUCUGUUUUGUGCUCAGCAAUUAGUUGUAAGAAGUUCAAGAGUGACCUUUCGUAUCCGAUCCCCCUGUGUUAUACCGCAGUCUUUAAUCGUUGUCACGAUAAUAUAUAUUACCCACUUGAUACGCCUACAGAAGUCAAGGACCACUUGGAUUAAAGCUCCCUGUAUUUUGUUUAAAAGUUAAGCCCGAAAUUUGCCUUGGAGCAAGAAUGGCUGUGGAGCUGAUCGCCGGUGCAGCCGCAGUGGGAACUUUUGCCGGCGGCGCAGUGGGCGGAGCGAUCGGGGGCGGUGUGGGCCUGGCGACGAACGACCGGGAGUUUGGCCAGUUGGUGGGCGGAACCGUGGGCGCGGUUACCGGAGUAGCAGCGGGAGGAGUGGUUGGUCACUGCAUUUGCCCCGGUCUCGGGACGAUCGUGGGUGGAGCAGCAGGAGGUUGCGGCGGAGCGGUAGCGGGCUAUGAAGUAUCCGGUGUUGUAUAUGAUGGGCUUCGAAAAAAACGUUAAGCGUAGAUUCUCUUAGGUGGUGUGCGUAUAGUUGUUUUUUUCGCAUUCUUCGAUUCGUGUGCUGGAGUAGUGUUGCAUUAUUUUUUCUCACGUACUGGAUUCCUACCCGUAGUUGUUACCUGUUACGAGUACGUGCAACUUGUAGGCGUACAACGAAUAUUAUGUGUUGCACAGUGUACAAAAAUCUCUGGUAAGUUUCAAAAUUUCCAACUGCCAGGCUGGCCGACAAGCAGCUGCUUAAGUGUAUGAGCGAUAUUAACAUUAAAACGUAUACAAGUA